UGCCAAUAAAAUUCCUAAAGCUGAACAGGCUAACUACACAUAGUAGAAACUGUGUUGUGAAUAAGGUGUCAUCAUCCCUAAAAUCACCCCCAAGGAGGACAAGCCUUUCUCUUUGAAGCUUGGAAGUGCAAUACUAAGGGUAGCUUGGUAGCAUGGCAAUGCCACAAAUGCCCCUUUUAUCCAUAGCAUCACGCUUCAUCUUAACGUAACCAGAUUCACCCCACUCUUCACCCCAAGAAUUCUUCACAAGCCAGUACUUCUGACCAUCUUCUUUGCCAUACCCGACUAUUGUUACUCCGUGAUUGAGGUCCUUUCUGCAUGUGCCAUUGAAGAUACCUUUAGAAUAAAGUUGAAAGUAAUAGCUACCUGCAUCAAUUGCUACGGAGACAGGCUGAUGAGCAGCUGCAGCUUUCAGUUUCUCCUCAUUGUUGGCAGGAACAUUUUCAUGGCCACUUAUAUUUACAGCAUGAUGAGCAGCUUUGACUUUAUCACAGGUACCGUCUGUCCCUUUAUAAGGAUAGUCUUUCUCAGUGGUGAUCCCUCCAUUCUUCUCGAUGAAAGUAAAUGCUUUGUCCAUGUAGCCACCUAGGCAGCCUAGGUUCCCACCAUUAAAAUCACAGUCUACAAGUUCUUGCUCAGACAAAGACACCAACUUCCCUGUCUUUAUUUGGUUGAUGCCUUCUACAGCUGCCACUGCAGAGAAUGCCCAACAACUUCCUGCAUCAAAAGGUUUGUGCCAUGAUUUACUUCUCAGCUGGCUCCGAGAUUCAAAACAUACUCAAAAAUAAAUGAAUGAAUGAAUGAAUGAAUGAAGUAUUAGCAACCGAAAUCAGCAUUUGAUAAAUAUCAGCAGACUACAAGGAUCUCUUCAUAUAUUUUGUUAAGGAUCUCGGUUACUUUUGUUCAUGCCUCCAUGCUCUUAUAUAUCUUAUAUGCUUGUUUCGUGUAUUAUGAUAUUCAAAUAUUUGGGGAAUGCAUGGUAAUAGUGUACUUGUUUGUUCUUGGGUUCUUCUAAACCAUGAACUUGUUUUUGCAAGAAACUUUACCGCAUUGGCCUUGAUCUUUGAUGGGGGUGACUGCACCUCUCUUCCUCCAAUCUAUGCUUUCUGGCAACGCCCCAUGCUUUUCAUACCGGAAUUGUGUCUGUAAUUGCUGUGUAGGUCGAGAACCAAGAUAUUUACUUCUAAACUCGUCGUUUGUAAUGUCAGCAAAUCUGUUGUCUGUGAGCUUAUAGGUGUAAUUCUGGGCGUUGACGCACUCAAUAAACCUGAUAUUGGCUUGGUAAAUGCGAAAAUGGGCUUCCCAUUCUUCCUUAUCCUCGUAUUGUCGGCCAUGUCGUUUCAGCCAACCUUCAUACCUCUUCCUGACCACUUCUGUCUCAGUCUCGUCACUCUUGGAAGUGUUAGGACAUACCCCUCUCGCUGCUGUUAUCCAUAAGUUGCAGAACAAAGUAAGAAGAUAGAAGAUAACAAUGGGGGAUGUUGUGGUUGUCUUCAUGACUGGCUAAUUAUGCGGAUGUAGUAUGAGAGGGUAUGUACAUGAUACGUGCAUGAAUAUUUAAUAUAUGCGGUAGCAGUAUGCUGCGAGUUUUGCAUUCUUUACA